rnacentral:rRNA from 1 species
AUUGAACGCUGGCGGCAUGCUUUACACAUGCAGGUCGAACGGUAACAGGCCUUCGGGUGCUGACGAGUGGCGAACGGGUGAGUAAUGCAUCGGAACGUGCCCAAUCGUGGGGGAUAACGUAGCGAAAGUUACGCUAAUACCGCAUAAGCCCUGAGGGGGAAAGUGGGGGACCGCAAGGCCUCACGCGAAUGGAGCGGCCGAUGUCAGAUUAGCUAGUUGGUGGGGUAAAGGCCCACCAAGGCGACGAUCUGUAGCGGGUCUGAGAGGAUGAUCCGCCACACUGGGACUGAGACACGGCCCAGACUCCUACGGGAGGCAGCAGUGGGGAAUUUUGGACAAUGGGCGCAAGCCUGAUCCAGCCAUGCCGCGUGCGGGACGAAGGCCUUCGGGUUGUAAACCGCUUUCAGCCGGAAGAAAUCGCCGUUUUAA